GCUUAUUGUAAAAUGGGAGGUUCAUAAACCACAACUCACAGAGCAGUGGAAAGGAUCAAAGAGCUAAUGCGUGUCCGGCACCUCGCGUAGUGUGAGCGCUCCACAAGUGUGGUGUCUGGGACAGUGCCUGGUGCUGUCAGCUGGAGCUGGCAGGCCCACAUUGGAAGCAUCUUCUAAGUAGGAAGGGGAGACAAGGGCUUGAAGCUGGGGGAGAUGGGGAAAGCCUCCCGCCCCAUCCACGCCAUUCCUGCCUUCCCCUCGUCCUGGGUAUUUUGGAGCCUGCCAGCUGAGGAGUGCUCUCCCAGGGUUGGGACUGCAGGCGCCUGACAAACUGAAGAGCACUGAAGCUGGAGAUGCAAAGAAGAGGGAGCAUUGACUAUGUUCUUGGAGCAACGAGCAAGUCAGUGAGGCACGCGUGUGACAGGUGCCUUUCCUGAACCCAGCAAUCCUCCUCCCCUUUCCCUGGCUCUCCUGGGAACUCCUAAUGAAGUCAGAAUAAGCCACUCCAUCAAUUUAUGAUCCCCAGAUGACUGUGUCCCUUUGCUCCUUAAUCACUCAGGUACCCAGAUUCUCUAUUAGCAAGAAGCCCAGAACCCCCUUCUCGAGUCCUCUCUCGUUUUCAAUCUUCCAAGGACACCGAAGUCUUCCUUAACCCACUGCUGGGGGUUGACUGCCGAAGGUCACUGAUGCCGGGGCAUCUUGCCACCACAUGGGGGCACUGCCAAAGAUGUGUGCAGAAUAGUCCUGCAGACACUGCGCUCGGCAGCGGAGCUCAUGCUAGGCGAACCCUUGCCUGGGUGUUGGAGGUCACCCACACUUGAGACUUGAGUUUACAGCUCUCAUGGGUCACUCUUAAAUACUCAGAGCAGAAUGCCAAGUGACUCCUCAUCCAUGCUCCAUGCACCCUGGAUCCCAGAACGGGGCACAUCACUUUCCUCCACCACUGUCGCCCUGCUCGCCACCACCUCCUCCCGCUAGGCCGGGCUUUCUCAACCGCCACCCCUUUGACAUUUGGGGCCAGAUCUUUCUCCGCUGUGGGGACAUGGCAGGAUGCUUGGCAGCACCCCUGGCCUCUGCCUAUCAGGUGCCUGUAGCACACCACCACUAUGACAAGAAAAAAUGUCUCUAGACAUUGCCCAACAUCCCCUGAGGAGCAG
rnacentral:lncRNA from 1 species